rnacentral:rRNA from 1 species
GCCAAUACUAGCCCUAAGCAUAACCAACACUAAUACCAAACCAACAUACACUAAACCAUUCACCUACACAAAGUAUAGGCGAUAGAAAUUUUAAUCUGGCGCUAUAGACAUAGUACCGUAAGGGAAAGAUAGAAAACCACCCAAGCACAAAACAGCAAGGACUAACUCCUGUACCUUUCGCAUAAUGAAUUAGCUAGAGACAAUUUUACGAAGAGGACUACAAGCCAAACCCCCCGAAACCAGACGAGCUACCCAAAAACAGCUAAAAGAGCGCACCCGCCUAUGUGGCAAAAUAGUGGGAAGAUUUCUGGGUAGAGGUGACAAGCCUACCGAGCCUGGUGAUAGCUGGUUAUCCAAGACAGAAUCUUAGUUCAACCUUAAGCUUACCUAUAGAACUACCUAAUCCCCCUGUAAGCUUAACUGCUAGUCUAAAGAGGGACAGCUCUUUAGACACCAGGAAAAAACCUUACGGAGAGAGUAAAACCCUCAAUCACCAUAGUUGGCUUAAAAGCAGCCAUCAAUUAAGAAAGCGUUCAAGCUCAACACUAACCACCACAAAAAUACCAAACACAUAACUGAACUCCUCACACCACAUUGGAUUAAUCUAUCACCAUAUAGAAGCAAUAAUGCUAGUAUAAGUAACAUGAAUAUUUUCUCCGCUGCAUAAGCCUGAAUCGGACCGAAAGCCUCACCGAUAUUUAACAGCCAGGCAUAACAAGCACAAACAAGCCCAUGCCACCUUCACUGUUAACCCAACACAGGCAUGCCCCAAGGAAAGGUUAAAAAAAGUAAAAGGAACUCGGCAAACCCAAACCCCGCCUGUUUACCAAAAACAUCACCUCUAGCAUUACUAGUAUUAGAGGCACUGCCUGCCCAGUGACACACGUUUAACGGCCGCGGUACCCUGAC